rnacentral:misc_RNA from 1 species
AAGUCGUAACAAGGUUUCCGUAGGUGAACCUGCGGAAGGAUCAUUAACACGUAUCCAACGUUAAAACAACCCGUGAACUUUCAGCUUGCUCCUGUAGCGGUAAAUCAUUGUUGACCAGCUUUGAGUCAGGACCUCUGCAGAUUGUGAUAUUUUAUUUACGGUUGAGCGAUUUGCAUCUAGUGACCUGGCAUCCCCAAGUAAUCAGUGUUCUGAAAGUGUCAUUGAUUGCCACGCGGCCGGCGACCGGGUCACCGGGCUCUGCCCCUUUACGACAACUAACGCGCGUGAAAUUCGCACGGCACCAAAAACCGAACAACUGUUAACAAUGGAUAUCUUGGUUCUC